GCCAGCAUGGUGUAGUGGUUUGAGUGUUGGACUGUGACUCUGGAGACCAGGGUUCGAAUCACUACUCAGCCA